ACAACGCCCAAAAAAGAGUA
rnacentral:tRNA from 1 species